AGCAGUAGCCGCGGGAAUACGUAGGGUGCAGGCGUUAAUCGGAAUUACUGGGCGUAAAGCGUGCGCAGGCGGUUUGUUAAGACAGAUGUGAAAUCCCCGGGCUCAACCUGGGAACUGCAUUUGUGACUGGCAAGCUAGAGUGUGGCAGAGGGGGGUGGAAUUCCGCGUGUAGCAGUGAAAUGCGUAGAUAUGCGGAGGAACACCGAUGGCGAAGGCAGCCCCCUGGGCCAACACUGACGCUCAUGCACGAAAGCGUGGGGAGCAAACAGGAUUAGAUACCCCCGUAGUCCCUGUCUCUUAUAA
rnacentral:rRNA from 1 species